rnacentral:rRNA from 1 species
AGAAUCAACGCUGGCGGCGUGCCUAACACAUGCAAGUCGCACGAGAAAGGGUAGCAAUACCUGAGUACAGUGGCGCACGGGUGAGUAACACGUGACUAAUCUACCUUUGAGUGGGGAAUAACCUGGGGAAACCCGGGCUAAUACCGCAUAAUACCUACGGGUCAAAGCAGCAAUGCGCUUAAAGAGGAGGUCGCGGUCGAUUAGUUAGUUGGCGGGGUAAUGGCCCACCAAGACGAUGAUCGAUAUCCGGCCUGAGAGGGCGCACGGACACACUGGAACUGAAACACGGUCCAGACUCCUACGGGAGGCAGCAGUGGGGAAUUUUGCGCAAUGGGGGGAAACCCCUGACGCAGCAACGCCGCGUGGAGGAUGAAGUAUCUUGGUACGUAAACUCCUUUCGAUAGGGAAGAUAAUGACGGUACCUAUAGAAGAAGCCCCGGCUAACUUCGCGCCAGCAGCCGC